ACAAAGGGCUGCAAGUUCGCGAGGACAAGCAAAUCCCAUAAACCGUGGCUCAGUUCAGAUCGUAGGCUGCAACUCGCCUACGUGAAGGCGGAAUCGCUAGUAAUCGCAGGUCAGCAUACUGCGGUGAAUACGUUCCCGGGCCUUGUACACACCGCCCGUCACACCAUGGAAGUUGGCCACGCCCGAAGCCGUUACUCCAACCCUUGUGGAGGAGGACGUCGAAGGUGGGGCUGAUGACUGGGGUGAAGUCGUAACAAGGUAUCCGUACCGGAAGGUGCGGAUGGAUCACCUCCUAAC
rnacentral:rRNA from 1 species